AUUGAACCCUGGCGGCAGGCCUAACACAUGCAAGUCGAGCGGUAGAGAGAAGCUUGCUUUUCUUGAGAGCGGCGGACGGGUGAGUAAUGCCUAGGAAUCUGCCUGGUAGUGGGGGAUAACGUUCGGAAACGGACGCUAAUACCGCAUACGUCCUACGGGAGAAAGCAGGGGACCUUCGGGCCUUGCGCUAUCAGAUGAGCCUAGGUCGGAUUAGCUAGUUGGUGAGGUAAUGGCUCACCAAGGCGACGAUCCGUAACUGGUCUGAGAGGAUGAUCAGUCACACUGGAACUGAGACACGGUCCAGACUCCUACGGGAGGCAGCAGUGGGGAAUAUUGGACAAUGGGCGAAAGCCUGAUCCAGCCAUGCCGCGUGUGUGAAGAAGGUCUUCGGAUUGUAAAGCACUUUAAGUUGGGAGGAAGGGCAGUAAAUUAAUGCUUUGCUGUUUUGACGUUACCGACAGAAUAAGCACCGGCUAACUCUGUGCCAGCAGCCGCGGUAAUACAGAGGGUGCAAGCGUUAAUCGGAAUUACUGGGCGUAAAGCGCGCGUAGGUGGUUUGUUAAGUUGGAUGUGAAAUCCCCGGGCUCAACCUGGGAACUGCAUUCAAAACUGACUGACUAGAGUAUGGUAGAGGGUGGUGGAAUUUCCUGUGUAGCGGUAAAAUGCGUAGAUAUAGGAAGGAACACCAGUGGCGAAGGCGACCACCUGGACUAAUACUGACACUGAGGUGCGAAAGCAUGGGGAGCAAACAGGAUUAGAUACCCUGGUAGUCCACGCCGUAAACGAUGUCAACUAGCCGUUGGAAGCCUUGAGCUUUUAGUGGCGCAGCUAACGCAUUAAGUUGACCGCCUGGGGAGUACGGCCGCAAGGUUAAAACUCAAAUGAAUUGACGGGGGCCCGCACAAGCGGUGGAGCAUGUGGUUUAAUUCGAAGCAACGCGAAGAACCUUACCAGGCCUUGACAUCCAAUGAACUUUCUAGAGAUAGAUUGGUGCCUUCGGGAACAUUGAGACAGGUGCUGCAUGGCUGUCGUCAGCUCGUGUCGUGAGAUGUUGGGUUAAGUCCCGUAACGAGCGCAACCCUUGUCCUUAGUUACCAGCACGUCAUGGUGGGCACUCUAAGGAGACUGCCGGUGACAAACCGGAGGAAGGUGGGGAUGACGUCAAGUCAUCAUGGCCCUUACGGCCUGGGCUACACACGUGCUACAAUGGUCGGUACAGAGGGUUGCCAAGCCGCGAGGUGGAGCUAAUCCCACAAAACCGAUCGUAGUCCGGAUCGCAGUCUGCAACUCGACUGCGUGAAGUCGGAAUCGCUAGUAAUCGCGAAUCAGAAUGUCGCGGUGAAUACGUUCCCGGGCCU
rnacentral:rRNA from 1 species